rnacentral:lncRNA from 1 species
GCGAAGUAACAGGACGUAGUAUUUGCAAACGAAGAGGAGAAAACGUCCAGAUCAAUUACACGAAAUCGCGUUUGAUAUAUAAAAUAAACUUGUCAGCUAAGAACUUGGAAAACACGACAACGGAAAAUAAUAAGAUACCCACUGAGGAUGCUACAACUGUGGUGAACCACGUUUGGGUGAUGAAUUAAAACAAUAAUUUGUGUACUUACAAAAAGGUGGACUCAUCCUUAAUUCAUUAACAUUUUUCUGCAAGCUCUGGAACUGAGUCCAAACUCAAAUAGACUGUUGUAUUAUAGAAGGUGAGAAGCUGAAACUCUCAGGAAUACCUGUAAUACUACCUUUACGAAAUAGUUGUCCAGUUGGCCAACUCUUAAAGUUGCUGGGCAUAUAACUGAUGAACUGCAAGAGGAAAUUAUCAACAAAUGAAGCCUAUGGUCUAUGGGCAAGUAUUCCACAGGGGAUACUCAGGAUCCACUAUUUUAUGUGUAUUAAUAAUCUUGUAUUGCAUAUAUAUUUAUUGUAAAUGGUGUCGAAGUAGUGGUAAGAAAAUGUGUCGAAUAGCAAGUAUAGACUGUUGGGUCAGGAGAACUAAGAAAACGGAAUCCCUUUCUCCAAAGCCAGAUUUCACACAAUUAUGCCCAAAAUGAUACAAUGUAGUGGUAAAAUAUUGACAUAUUUUGUGAAAAUAUGUAUAACACUGUUGAAAAUAAAGAAUGAUAGCAGUCAUAAUUUUGUGAGAUGUGGUCAGAGGUAAAAAUGUAAAAUGAGUGUUAUGUUGUAUAUUUCUGUUGACAAUGAAGAAAGAUACCAGCCUUAACUUUGUGAGUUGUAGUCACAUGAAAUUGUAAAGUGAAUGUAAAUAAAUGGACAUAAUAAUCCAUUGGCACUA